AAAACGCGCCAAAUGAAUAUUCAGCGUCGUCGAACGUGAACCUGCUGUGCCGGUUUUCUGCGCGCUACCGCAUGGGCGUCUACCCUCACGGCGUGUGCACGCACUUCAUCUACGCGAGUGUGCCCAACCAAGUGAAUCCGGACUCGCCGCAUGACAAGAACGUGCUUUACAGCUACGACCUUGCGGCGUUCAAGAAGUUCCUGCACUUGCGAGACC